ensembl:snRNA U6 U6 spliceosomal RNA
GUAUUCCCUUCGGCAGCACAUAUACUAAAAUCGGAACAAUACAGAGAAGACGAGAAUGGCCCCUGUGCAAGGAUGACACAGAUUCGUGAAGCAUUCCCUAUUUUU